rnacentral:lncRNA from 1 species
CACCUAUAAUUCUGCCACCACGUGUGAUCGUCGGGAAAAAGGGCCGUGUGACUGUGAGUAUUGAGGGACGCAAGGUGGACAAAGUCCAGACUGUCUGGUUCCUCAAUGACACUCCCAUCUCAAACUCUUCUCUCACAGUAACUGAGAAAAGCCCUCUUGUUCCCCCAAGUGGCAAUGCUGGAUAUUACAAACUACAUAAGCAGCGCCUCCUAUCUUCAGGGAGUGGCAGCACACAGCAGCUGCUCUCGUCCUUUACCUUCAUCCCCGACAUCUCCCUGCACAAGGGCGCAGUCUUCAAAUGCCAGAUCUCCUACAGAGGGAAAGAGAAGGUGGUGGCGGAGAGAGUGUCAGACAAGUUCACACUGCUGGCUGUCCCACAUGUAUCUGAGAUUCAAC